AGAGUUUGAGUCCUGGCUCGAGGACGAACGCUGGCGGCGUGCUUAACACAUGCAAGUCGAACGGAAAGGCCCUGCUUUUGUGGGGUGCUCGAGUGGCGAACGGGUGAGUAACACGUGAGUAACCUGCCCUUGACUUUGGGAUAACUUCAGGAAACUGGGGCUAAUACCGGAUAGGAGCUCCUGCUGCAUGGUGGGGGUUGGAAAGUUUCGGCGGUUGGGGAUGGACUCGCGGCUUAUCAGCUUGUUGGUGGGGUAGUGGCUUACCAAGGCUUUGACGGGUAGCCGGCCUGAGAGGGUGACCGGCCACAUUGGGACUGAGAUACGGCCCAGACUCCUACGGGAGGCAGCAGUGGGGAAUAUUGCACAAUGGGCGGAAGCCUGAUGCAGCAACGCCGCGUGCGGGAUGACGGCCUUCGGGUUGUAAACCGCUUUCGCCUGUGACGAAGCGUGAGUGACGGUAAUGGGUAAAGAAGCACCGGCCAACUACGUG
rnacentral:rRNA from 1 species